rnacentral:rRNA from 1 species
GGCCCCGCACAAGCGGUGGAGCAUGUGGUUUAAUUCGAUGAUACGCGAGGAACCUUACCAGGGCUUAAAUGUAGUGGGACAGGUCUAGAGAUAGACCCUUCUUCGGACUCAUUACAAGGUGCUGCAUGGUUGUCGUCAGCUCGUGCCGUGAGGUGUCAGGUUAAGUCCUAUAACGAGCGCAACCCCCUAUCGUUAGUUGCCAGCGGGUCAUGCCGGGAACUCUAGCGAAACUGCCGGUGCAAACCGAGAGGAAGGUGGGGAUGACGUCAAAUCAUCAUGGCCCUUACGUCCAGGGCUACACACGUACUACAAUGGUCGGUACAAAGGGUUGCAACAUAGCGAUAUGAAGCC